AUAAGUGAUAGACUUUCACUUUGUUUACAACAACUACAACUUCAUUCUGUUGAAAUAGAACUACCUGCUUCUCUCAUCGAUCCCUCAAACGGGCGAAGCAUUACUUCAGGGAGGCUAACUAAUAGUUGAACAAUUGCUUUGGCAACUGGCAAGGAGAGGAACGAAACUUCAGGAAGACUUUGUUCUUUUUUAUUACCCUCAUCUCAAUGUUCUUUUGCUUUUAAAACAAGAUGCCAUGGGUGUUGUAUAAUCUGUAGGCAUUACUCUAGCCAUGCCAACUGUCACGAACCAAAUCCAUGGAAUAUGAAUUUAGAUACA